AGUGAACGCUGGCGGUAGGCCUAACACAUGCAAGUCGAACGGCAGCACAGUAAGAGCUUGCUCUUACGGGUGGCGAGUGGCGGACGGGUGAGGAAUACAUCGGAAUCUACUUUUUCGUGGGGGAUAACGUAGGGAAACUUACGCUAAUACCGCAUACGACCUACGGUUGAAAGCAGGGGAUCUUCGGACCUUGCGCGAUUGAAUGAGCCGAUGUCGGAUUAGCUAGUUGGCGGGGUAAAGGCCCACCAAGGCGACGAUCCGUAGCUGGUCUGAGAGGAUGAUCAGCCACACUGGAACUGAGACACGGUCCAGACUCCUACGGGAGGCAGCAGUGGGGAAUAUUGGACAAUGGGCGCAAGCCUGAUCCAGCCAUACCGCGUGGGUGAAGAAGGCCUUCGGGUUGUAAAGCCCUUUUGUUGGGAAAGAAAAGCAGCAGGUUAAUACCCCGCUGUUAUGACGGUACCCAAAGAAUAAGCACCGGCUAACUUCGUG
rnacentral:rRNA from 1 species